rnacentral:misc_RNA from 1 species
ACUAAUUAGGAAUACAAAUCAUAUAUCUAUUCAGGAAUAUAAAACUUAUACAAAAUAGGAAUGCCAACGCAACGCAACUCACAGGGUUGUACUUCCCUCUCCAAAGGCGAUGCCAACAAGGAAAAACAACAAACAAAAGGUGAAUCUUUAUCCAAGAGCUCACAGGGUUGUGAUACAGUAGCUGUCCAAACCCAAACACUCAAAGAAGAAUAAAAGGUAUAAUCAAAAUAAGACCUCCGGUAAACAGCAAACACAGAACCCAAAGCAUAGGACUUUUCAACUUUCAGGAAAUACCCAAGUUGAUGCUAAAGGAGAAGACCAGAGUUGGAAAAGGAAAAGUGCUCUCAAGAACUGGAAGCAGCAAAUAUAUUAUUGAAAUAGACAAGCUGAAACACUUGAAGCUUGAAAUUGUUCACAAGAACCAAGGAGUGCUUUCAAAAGCCAGAAAUCAAUAAUUGUAUCAUUGAAACCCAACAAAAAGGCUAAAACCCAAAAGAGCCAAAACUCCAUAACUCAAGAAACACCCAAAGUGCAAAAAUACCCAAAAAAUCCACAGAAGAAUACUUUCAGGGACUGCACGUAACAAAGAGAAUGACCUGAAGGACAACCGCUGACUCACGCACCUCCACUAGCCAGCAUGUGAGACAGAGCCUGAUCUGGAAACAAGGCGCGUGGGAGCUACUCGCCAGCCUUCAAGUGCCCGGACUUCCUGGGAAGGCCGACUGGCCGCCAAUAAAUCCUCCUAGGUUUGUGGUGAGACAAAAGCAUCACUCUAAAUUGAUGACCUAGGGUAGCAGUAGCUUCUCAAACAGGAAAAGCUUAAAAAAACAGGGGAGAAAAACCAAUAAGACCAGACAGAAAACCUACUAGAAACAAAUCAGGCUCUGAUACCAUGUUAAGAUUUAAGAA